UUUUCAUCUUUUUUCAUUCUUCCUCUAAACCUAAACCACCUCCAACCCACCACCACACCACCAUCCCACUGCCACCACCAUCCCGCUACCUCCACCACCGCAUCGUCCCCACCACCACCAUCCCACUGCCGCCACCACCAUCCCACUACCUCCACCACCGCAUCAUCCCCGCCACCACCAUCCCAUUGCCGCCACCACCAUCCCACUGGCACACAUCUCUAUACUCAUCCCGCUGUAGAAACUCGACACUGUAUUCAUACCCAUCCAUCUCAGAUCUGAUUCCAUCUCAUAUCCACUGUCAAAUCUAGAUCUGAUUCCAUCUCAUCUUCUUCCCCCACUUUAUCCUCUUUCAAGUUUCAAUUCAAAUCUUCAACAAAUUUCCACAUAUAAAUAACCACUCAAUGAAACCCUAUCUUCAUCAUCAAUCUUCAUCUUAUCCUCCAAAUCAAGCUUCAAAUCUUUAAUCACCAUGGCUGAAGAACAACCGCAGCCUAAUCAAAUUAAACACAUUCACAAGCUUAAUUUGUUCAAAAUCAAAGGCAGAGAUAAACACAAUCGCAAAAUCUUACGAAUUAUCGGAAAAAACUUUCCAGCUACGAGUUUGACAGUUGACUUAUUGAAAAAAAAAUAUCUUGGUGCAGCGAUGACGGUGGUGGUUGUGGUAGAGUGAUGAUGGUGGUGGUUAUUUUGUUGAGAGAGAAGAUAAGAGAGAGAAAGUGAUUAGGUAGAGAUGUCUCUGAGAUAAUCGAUGGAAUUUGUUUAUAUAUUUAAUAAUAGUUUUAAUAAUAAUAAAAUGGUUUUUAAGUA